rnacentral:rRNA from 1 species
CCUGAGAAACCCAAAAGAUCGAAUGGGGAGAUUCAUCGUCAGCACAUUUUGUAUAUGUAUGAGUUAUGAUGCGGGUUACUCUUGAGUAUUGCCUGCACAUUCUUGUAUAUUUAGUUGCAAGAUGUUGUCGGCGUGCACUUCUUCCCUUAGUAGGACGUCGUGACCCGUUGGGUGUUGGUUUACGGCCCAAGUGGUAGCCUCCAAUGUUUUUAAUAAAUAUUAGAGACCCUUGGUGUUUUCUGACCAACUGCCCGGCGGUAUUCGUACGGUAUUUAGCCGCAUUUUAUUAUGCGUCCACGCCCGUCGCAAGCGCGGUUAGAUUUCGAUAGUACGGACUUGGUGCCGUCGUUGUAUCUGACCAGCUGUUGGUUGUUACGGUGUUCUAGGACUGGCUAAAAAUUGAAAUUACCGGUCGACGAUGCUACUGCUUUGGGUACUUUCAGGACCCGUCUUGAAACACGGACCAAGNAGUCUAACAUGUGCGCGAGUCAUUGGGAUUCUUAAAAAAAUUAAACCUAAAGGGGUAAUGGAAGUAAAGGUCGGCCUUGUGUCGCAUUAGGGAGGAUGAGUUGUAUUAAGAUAUAGAUUCGGACUCCCCGGGG